rnacentral:lncRNA from 1 species
GUUUGAUACAGUAAAUGUAAAAUAUUCAACAUUUAAGAUGUUGUGUAUAUUGUCUCAGGGUGGAUAUGGGAGGGGGUUCGGGCGUUGGAACUCCUGGAAACAUAUGGUUGGACCCUUCCCCUUUCCUCCUUUUGAAAAUGGCUGUAUCUGCCCUGUGUCUUGAUUUUAUAAAACUAAGUAACACAGGUAGUUAACACGUAGGUUUUUACAGAAGAACAACAACUGCAUUUUCUACCCUAUUCAUGACACGGUAUUUUCGUUAAAUGUUUGUUAUCAUUCUCUGUCUUCUUCUUCUUCUUCUU